GUAGGCACAAGCACUUGAUAUAUAUUUUUGUCAAAAUAAUGAAACCACCUAAUUAACAAUGCUAAUUUGUAUUUACUUGUUAUAUAUUCUGGUUUAUUGGAAAUUGAUUGGCUUUAUUGCUGUUGGCAGAUGAACUUUUGAAAUCAACUGUGGCGGACAAAAUUCCAAGUGAUUUGGAAGGCAUGGAAAGUACUCUGGAGAGGUUGCUGGCUUUAAUUGAAAUGGACCAAAGCAAACCUGAUUUAAAAUGGAUUAACGCAAUUCCUAUCAACAAGAACACAAUAAGUUAUGGCCUUUUAAUUUGAAGUUGAUUAGAAAGUGAAAUUAGCCUAACAGCCUUACCAAAAGAUGACCAUCACCUCAAGUAUGACCCCACCUGUAUUGGAAUUGACCCUACUACUACUGCUUGAAGUUAUGCUAUGCCUAAUAGUGGCAAAAGUUAUACAGUUUAUAAAGUAUAUAAUGUAUGAUAUUGGUGUUUGAUUCACUAAUGCCUAGUAAUGGCAAAAGUUAUACAAUUUAUAAAGUAAAUAAUGUAUGAUAUUGGUGUUUGGUUCACUAGUCCUCUUUGGCUCUGGUGGUGGCUUUCAAGAUUCUUGAAACCAGAGGUCUAGGGUUCAAGGACUAGUGGAAAACCAGCUACAGAGGAAAGAUACUAGAUGAGUGCAAGUUCUGUGGCAGGGAGGGUACUAUUACAAUGAUACCAAAAUCUGGCCGCUAUCUAACAGGUGAUGACUGUGAAGCUGGAAAGUUUGUCCGUUUGAUGAGCUUUGACUGCCGGGGUUUGGAGCCAGUGGACUACUCCUUUGGUGGUGACAAGGAGGAGUGGGAGAAAUUAUCUGAUGACAAGUAGGAGCAUGAGAAAUUAUCUGAUGACAAGGAGCCCGGAGAAGGAGAAGUUAUCUGAUGAUAGUUACCUUACUUUUGUAAAUAGUGACAUCUAUAAAAAUGUGGUCAAUGUUGUCAAAAUUUAUAUAAUUACCUUAUUUUUAUA